GCGGGGAUGAGGUGUGGGUAGCGGAGAAAUUCCAAUCGAACUUGGAGAUAGCUGGUUCUCUCCGAAAUAGCUUUAGGGCUAGCCUCAAGGUAAGAGUAUUGGAGGUAGAGCACUGUUUGGACUAGGGGCCCCCAUCGGGUUACCGAAUUCAGACAAACUCCGAAUGCCAAAUACUUAUCCUUGGGAGUCAGACUGCGAGUGAUAAGAUCCGUAGUCAAGAGGGAAACAGCCCAGACCACCAGCUAAGGUCCCAAAGUAUACGUUAAGUGGAAAAGGAUGUGGAGUUGCUUAGACAACCAGGAUGUUGGCUUAGAAGCAGCCACCAUUUAAAGAGUGCGUAAUAGCUCACUGGUCGAGUGACUCUGCGCCGAAAAUGUACCGGGGCUAAACGUAUCACCGAAGCUGUGGAUUGACAUCUAUGAUGUCAGUGGUAGGAGAGCGUUCUAAGGGCGUUGAAGCUAGAUCGUGAGGACUAGUGGAGCGCUUAGAAGUGAGAAUGCCGGUAUGAGUAGCGAAAGACGGGUGAGAAUCCCGUCCACCGAAUGACUAAGGUUUCCUGGGGAAGGCUCGUCCUCCCAGGGUUAGUCGGGACCUAAGUCGAGGCCGAAUGGCGUAGACGAUGGACAACAGGUUGAGAUUCCUGUACCAGUUGGUUUUGUUUGAACAAUGGAGGGACACAGUAGGCUAAGGAAUACGCGCUGUUGGAUAUGCGCGUCCAAGCAACAAGUUUUGAAGUGAGUCAAAUGCUUGCUUCUUUAAGAACAAGUUGUGAUGGGGAGGGAAAUUAAGUACCGAAGUUCCCGAUGUCACACUGUCAAGAAAAGCUUCUAGUUAGAAACCAACUGCCCGUACCGCAAACCGACACAGGUAGGCGAGGAGAGAAUCCUAAGGUGCGCGGGAGAACUCUCGUUAAGGAACUCGGCAAAAUGACCCCGUAACUUCGGGAGAAGGGGUGCUCUUUUGGGUGCAAGCCCGAGAGAGCCGCAGUGAAUAGGCCCAGGCGACUGUUUAGCAAAAACACAGGUCUCUGCGAAGCCGUAAGGCGAAGUAUAGGGGCUGACACCUGCCCGGUGCUGGAAGGUUAAGAGGAUGGGUUAGCUCUCGGGCGAAGCUCAGAAUUGAAGCCCCAGUAAACGGCGGCCGUAACUAUAACGGUCCUAAGGUAGCGAAAUUCCUUGUCGGGUAAGUUCCGACCCGCACGAAAGGCGUAACGAUCUGGGCACUGUCUCAACGAGAGACUCGGUGAAAUUAUAGUACCUGUGAAGAUGCAGGUUACCCGCGACAGGACGGAAAGACCCCAUGGAGCUUUACUGCAGUUUGAUAUUGAGUGUUUGUACAGCCUGUACAGGAUAGGUAGGAGCCAUUGAAGCCAGGACGCCAGUCUUGGUGGAGGCGUUGGUGGGAUACUACCCUUGCUGUAUGACCACUCUAACCCACAGCCCUUAUCGGGCUGGGAGACAGUGUCUGACGGGCAGUUUGACUGGGGCGGUCGCCUCCUAAAGUGUAACGGAGGCGCCCAAAGGUUCCCUCAGAAUGGUUGGAAAUCAUUCGCAGAGUGUAAAGGCAUAAGGGAGCUUGACUGCGAGACCUACAAG
rnacentral:rRNA from 1 species